rnacentral:rRNA from 1 species
GACGAACCGAGCGAACGUUGUUCGGAAUCACUGGGCUUAAAGGGCGCGUAGGCGGAUCAUCAAGUCCGGGGUGAAAUCUUUCGGCUUAACCGGAAAAGUGCCUUGGAUACUGGUGGUCUCGAGUGAGGUAGGGGCAUGUGGAACUUCUGGUGGAGCGGUGAAAUGCGUUGAUAUCAGAAGGAACUCCGGUGGCGAAAGCGACGUGCUGGACCUCUUCUGACGCUGAGGCGCGAAAGCUAGGGGAGCGAACGGG